rnacentral:rRNA from 1 species
CAAGUGGCGAACGGGUGAGUAACACGUGGGUGAUCUGCCCUGUACUUCGGGAUAAGCUUGGGAAACUGGGUCUAAUACCGGAUAGGACUGCAUCGUGGGUGGUGUGGUGGAAAGCUUUUGCGGUAUGGGAUGAGCUCGCGGCCUAUCAGCUUGUUGGUGGGGUAAUGGCCUACCAAGGCGUCGACGGGUAGCCGGCCUGAGAGGGUGUACGGCCACAUUGGGACUGAGAUACGGCCCAGACUCCUACGGGAGGCAGCAGUGGGGAAUAUUGCACAAUGGGCGCAAGCCUGAUGCAGCGACGCCGCGUGGGGGAUGACGGCCUUCGGGUUGUAAACUCCUUUCGCCAGGGACGAAGCGUUAUGUGACGGGUACCUGGAUAAGAAGCACCGGCUAACUACGUGCCAGCAGCCCGCGGGUAAUACGUAGGGUGCGAGCGUUGUCCGGAAAUUACUGGGCGUAAAGAGCUCGUAGGUGGUUUGUCGCGUCGUUUGUGUAAGUCCACGGCUUAACUGUGGGACUGCAGGCGAUACGGGCAUAACUUGAGUGCUGUAGGGGAGACUGGAAUUCCUGGUGUAGCGGUGAAAUGCGCAGAUAUCAGGAGGAACACCGAUGGCGAAGGCAGGUCUCUGGGCAGUAACUGACGCUGAGGAGCGAAAGCAUGGGUAGCGAACAGGAUUAGAUACCCUGGUAGUCCAUGCCGUAAACGGUGGGCGCUAGGUGUGAGUCCCUUCCACGGGGUUCGUGCCGUAGCUAACGCAUUAAGCGCCCCGCCUGGGGAGUACGGCCGCAAGGCUAAAACUCAAAGGAAUUGACGGGGGCCCGCACAAGCGGCGGAGCAUGUGGAUUAAUUUCGAUGCAACGCGAAGAACCUUACCCUGGGGCUUGACAUACACCGGGACCGGGGCCAGAGAUGGUCUUUUCCCCUUUGUGGCUGGUGUACAGGUGGUGCAUGGUUGUCGUCAGCUCGUGUCGUGAGAUGUUGGGUUAAGUCCCGCAACGAGCGCAACCCUUGUCUUAUGUUGCCAGCACGUUGUGGUGGGGACUCAUGAGAGACUGCCGGGGUUAACUCGGAGGAAGGUGGGGAUGACGUCAAAUCAUCAUGCCCCUUAUGUCCAGGGCUUCACACAUGCUACAAUGGUCGGUACAGCGCGUGCGCGAGUUCGUGAGGAUGAGCUAAUCGCUGAAAGCCGGUCGUAGUUCGGAUUGGGGUCUGCAACUCGACCCCAUGAAGUCGGAGUCGCUAGUAAUCGCAGAUCAGCAACGCUGCGGUGAAUACGUUCCCGGGCCUUGUACACACCGCCCGUCACGUCAUGAAAGU